UAAAGCCAUAAUUAGGAUGAGCCUUAACAUCCACCUAUCCGGUGAAUUGAGAGUGCACAACCAAAGAGAAAGCUCUCUUCUGUACAGAAAGCAAAUUGUAGAUUAUCAGUUUCACAAGAAGUCAAACAGAGCCCUGAUAAGGACGCCAAUAAAAUUUCAAAGAUGCCAGUACAGCUUGCAGUUUCUACUAAGACGGUUGUUAGCACAGACACCGCAGAACAUUUUUACCUCUCAUGACAAUGAGUUUAACCGUGUCAGUCGUCUUAAUAUUUAUACUCCUAUACCAGUGCGCUAAAAUCGACAAAGUAGUUGACGGAUACCUAAUUCCAAAUAGUGUACGGCAGUCUGGACAUAACCACGAUAACCGAGAAACCAAGUAAAAAGACUGAAUGUGCGUAGUCUAUGAUGCUAGGAAAAACAAAUUUUCCAGAACAAAUUAUCUCAAAUAACUAUUGAAAACUAUGUUUUAUUGAAUCUAACAGAAAAUUCCUCUUCGUUUUGAUACAAUUGAUUUAGGUGCAGUGUGUGCCAAAAUUAACUCACUUAGCCAUAACUAGUUAUGAAGCAGACUUGAUUCUACAUUUUCUCACCAUUUGCUGCAUCUUAACAUAAUAGCUAGUGUGCUCUCCCCGGAUACCACGAUUCAGUUAUUUGCUUUCGAAGCCGGCCCCUGGACGCAAGCAGCAUUCCCAUGUAGUUCAUUAUCAUCAACAUCAUUAUCUCCAUCAUCUUUGCCGAAAAAGGAAACAACGUUCACGUUAAACCAGAA